CUCUCUGCAUGGAGACUGUACUUCUCCUGAGCUGCUACCAGUCAUAGGAAGGGGUAUGAGCUUCCCCUUUUUUCUGCUACUCCGAUGCAAGACUAAAGCACAGAUGCUACAAAAGCAGGAUCUGGCUGCGUGCAUUUAAUAAAACCCUUUGGAAUUAUUCAGUUGGAAUAGUGGAAGUGUGAAAUCAGCCCUGCGUUUACACGUGGAGCUUUGCUGCCCUUGGUUGUGCCCAGCAGCACAAUGUGCUGCACGGGUUUCCAAAGACUUUUCCAGUGCUACUGUGUAAACAUCACUUAGCUGAUCUGAUAAGGCUUAUCUCCUUGCCUGUCCCUGAGAUACGCGAUCCUCAGCUAAUCUGAGUAAUAAUUCAGGCGACGUGCUUACUGAUGAGCCAGCAUGGAGGGAAGUUAUGUUUUAGAGGCUGGAUUUUUCAGAGUUUGAGAUGGAGCCCGAAUUGCCCUGCUGAGGGUGUCAGCAUCCCCUUGCAGCUCUGGGACCGGGAGCCUGGGCUCUGCAAGCUGACACGAGAGCCGAGGUACUGCCAGCACAGGAAUGUGCAGGGAGGUUCCCAUGUGGGAAUGUGACAACAGGAAUGAGGAUGGAUGUAUUUUGAUCUCUGUGUGGAUGCUCUGCUUUAUGUGUGAAGCAGCUUUGGAUCAACGUUAAACAGCAGCUCUUUGUCAAACGCGUAGCAGACAUUCACAUCACCCAGCUCAACACACAGACAUGGGUAGUUUCUAGGGAUGUUAGAUAAAAAUCACAAUUGUUGGUGUGUGGGACGUUUUUUGGUUAGUUUUGUAGGUGGGGGGGGAACAACUGAAGUACUAAUUGGCACAAACAAGUUUCUGUUUACAGAGGCUGCUGUGCUCAGAUUCCCCACUUCCCAGGAAAGCCUUCCUUUUUGCCACAUCUAUUUAUAAACUGCCACCUGAUAUUUUCUUAUUCAGAGGAGUUGUAACAGGAACCAGAUUAAUCUAAACAUGGGGAAAAAUGAAACGCGAUGAGGAAUGAGAAAGCAGAGUAGGCUGGGAAAAAGCUCUUGUCCCAGAGAAUGGAGGAUUGUAUGUAGUGUUUAGUGUGGGGCUCAAUUCUUUCCCCUUCUCCAACAUUGAAUUUUGUCCUCGGUGACUACUAGAGAUCUCUGUUGCCUGUGUAUACAUAGAGAUCACUCCGUUUGCAAUCCCGGUGCUGUAAUCUCUAUUAAAGACGUUGAAUAGGUACAUGAAUGUUGUGUUCAGGCUAUGCAGGUGUUAGCUGAAGUUCUGUGCAAAGUUCAGUUUACAGGAAAUCAAAGAGAUGAUUGUAGUGGUCGACUGUUUCUCAGUGUCUGUGGCUCUGUUCAAGUUUAAUUCCUGUAUUUCUCAUUAAGGACUCAAAAAUAGAUACUACUUAU
ensembl:lncRNA